GACGAUUGAGAAGAAGGCCCGCUAGUGUUGAGGGAGAGCAGUUCAUCAUCCUGAGGAGGAUGCUCCAAAAUUUGUUGAGAAACACAUAAAAGCGCCUUCCUUAUCGCAUCCAGGCUCCCAGAUAUCUUCAAUGAGAUCACGAAAGACAAUGAAAGUGAAUUACGAUUAAUAGUAAUAGGAGUUGAAAAAAAUAUAUAAGCCUACUUCAAUCAGCUAUACUAAUGGAUGUCACAGGUUGCUUAAGAAUUCCCGAUUCUAAUUAAGGCUAAGGGGCAUCUCAAUCAACAAAGUCCGCUGGGACCUGACAAAGGACGACAGAUUAUGAAAGAGUAAAUUAGAAGAUAACAGAGCCUUUCAAACUAAAUGCUCCACGAACACUUUGACUAAAGAAAACAAAAUGUUCAUUCAAAGUACCUUUCUUCUUUAUUGGAAUUUACAUACCAAAUAAGACCACAAUAAAAGAUUACAAAAUGCUUACUGCACCUAAAAUCAAAAAACAACUUUUCCGUUUUUAAACAUAAAAAAAAAUAUUUAUCUGCAAUACGUUAUUUACCAAACCAAUUCAUUUGAACAACAAUUGAUUAAUAAUUUAGGACCUAGCCAUAUUAUGCAAUAUGGACUAGAGCUAAGUUAAUUAAUGUAUUCACAUGUGACAUGUUUGCACCAAAUACAAUGAUUAUGAUCUCUUUAGUUUAUAUCAUGAGAAAGAAAUGAUUUAAGAAAGGAUGAGCACGUUUUAUGAGAGAACUCGAGAAAUAAUAUGUAAACCUAUAUCGUGAAGGUUGUGACUAAUUUAAUUAUGGUAAUUAAAUGUAGGAGUAUUGAUUCUGAAAAAUAAAAUUGUAUUCCGAGUUUGAAAUUAAAAAAGUUUCUUAAUCAGCAUGUAAAAGGCAGAAAAUGACAUCUAAGUUUGUAGAGGAACAGACCAGGGAAUGAAACAAAAACAAUUGUCAAACCUGAACCAGUUCAUCGGAAGGAGAGGCACAAAUAGGUAGUUCAUCACUGGGAAGUAUCCUAAUUUGUGCCCCACUUUCAGAUUCCAUUUGUUUGAUAACACUCCCUUCGUUUCCCGAAAUGCCUCCCGCCUGACUAGAAAGAACAAGUAACCUCAAAGAAAAUGCGGAAGCCUUAUCAUUCUCUUCAUUUUCACCAACUGUUUCGGGUUCUCCUUCAGCAAUUCUUUCGAAAACAAGUAGCAGAGCCUUCUGAGCAGCAGAUGGUCCCUUCUCACAUUGUGAAUCUUUGGCGGCACCAGAUUCUUUAUCUAUGGUAUCAACAGAUUCCUUAUCUUCACCUUCCUUCUCUUCUUUCUCUUGUUCAUCUAGAUUAUCAACUUUAUCAGUAUCAUUUUUUUCUUCCUCCCCCUUAUUCUGUUCAGCAUCAACUCCAUUUUCCUUGUCAGACUCAAUAAUGACAAUGAUUCUUUCAUCACACCCGGGGACAGUUUCUUCAACUCUGACCUUUGCCCCAGUUUCUUGACGGAUUUGUGAGAUGAUUCCGCCACCUUUCCCAAUCACACUGCCACCUUUAGAAGCAGGACAGAGUACACGAAAGAAGGAGGUUCCAGGAGGGAUCCUCAAAUUUUGUGAAUUAAAUGCUGAAGUCUUCUGCCACUUUCCCCUAAUAUUUGACUCAUUCCGGUCAUUCUGUCUCUUUGCUGGAGUCAGUUGACCCGACAUGUUUACGGACCGAGAUAGACCUGUAAAAGCGCUACUUAAUAUUCGGAAAUAAAUUCGUGAAAACAAUCAGUUGCAUGGUGUCGAGACAAAAUGAUUACACAUUAAUUCACAAUAAAGUUAGCUUAUGUUGUCACUAAUCUACAACUUAUACCAUUUAAUAAAUGCUACCACAAUCAAAAUCCAUCAGCGUCUUUUAAAAACAGAAUACAAACAAACCAAAAGAAUGAUUUCUUCACACUCCCACACUACAAAGUCUACUUCAAACAAUAAACUUAUAAUCAUCCAUUCCUCUCCACAACAAAACCUCACAAGAUAAAAAUUCGAUUGUUAUCCAACAAAAUCAAAAAUAGCAUAAUUCCAGGAUAAACAAACAAACACUAUUACCCUCAAUCUCGAAAAACCCUAGCUUUCUUUUCCCUUAUCAUAUCAAAAUUUCCCUAAAAACCCAGCUCAGUUCAAGCAAUACAAAUACAAACACAUUCACACACAAAAACACACACACAGAGUGUAAUCCAAUUGGGUUCUUUUCUACAACAAGUUCCAAUUUUUACAAAGCAAGAAACACAUAAAAUUGCAGAGAAUUACAUACAAACACAUACAUAGUGAGAGAGAUAUAGAUACAUGAAGAUUAGAGAGUGAUUAAGAGCAAUUAGUUACCUCCAAAAGGGUGAAUCUUGGGUGGGUUUUGAUAGAAAAGAAGGCUCUCUAACCCCUCUUCUGUUCUCUUGAAUCUUGGCUAUAAAACCCUUGUUUGUGUUGCUGCUUUGUUUUGUCACGACCCUCCUUGUAUCUUUUUUAUUUUCUCGCCUCUAUAUUUAUAAUAUUUUUAUUAUUAUAUAUAUAAUAUAUAAUUAAUUUUAAAUUAUAAUAUGUGUAUAUAUAUACACAUAUUUUUUAAUAAAUAUAUUAUUGUAUAUUUAAAUUUUUCAUUCUCACAUAUUUUUGAAAUUUUCCUUUUUAUACAAAAGGUAAAUUUUAAUAAAGAGAAAUUAAUUAAAGAUAAUACUUUUGUUAUACAAUUACUUAAAUUGUGUUUUGAAAACUUAAUUGACAUUGAAAUUCUUUUUAUCAAAAUAGCAUCUAAUUUCUAAAUAUAUUGAUUUCAAUAUUUAUUAAAAAGAUAAAAGAUAAUAUAAAUAUUUAAGUUUAAACUUACUCUAAAAUACUAAUUUUGUAAAGAAAUGAAAACAAAAAAGAAAAUGUGAAGAAAAUUCAAAUAAUUGUGCCCAUGAUAUAAUAAAUAGAAUCCGGUUUCCAUUCUUUCCCUUCUCAUUCAGGGAAAAAAAAGUAUAAUAUUUACAAUAUUUUUUUUACAAAGAAACCAAUUAUUAUAUGCUCAAAUUAACUUAAAACUAUUUAAUAUUAACAAUUUUAUUAGUCAUUAAUUUUUUAUUUGACUUUAAAUUAAAAAUUGAACCUGGAAAAAUACAAUAUGAAUAUUAUUAAAUAUUAUCAUUACAUAUAUAAUAUUUGGUUAUAACGGUAUAGAAUGGAGGUGCCUUCAAAAAAAAAAAAAAAAGGGUAUAGAAUGGAGGUGAUUGUAUUUAAAUAUCAAUGGAUAUUAACAGCAAAUGCAAGAGAAGGCCUGGAAUGAAAUUAAAAACAGAGAACAUGUUUGGUGCUGGGUAAAUUGUCAGUCUUGGCUAGCUUCACUGCAUAUGGUUUUGUUUCAAAGGCUCCUAGCAAGUUAGUACAUUACAAUUUCCGCCCACACAGGACAACCAUAGUUGAUUUGAUUCGGCAUUCAACAUGUUUGCAAAUGAAAUUGCAAGUACCAUGAUUUCGAAAGUAUUAAUAUGAAAAUUUGAUCACUCUGAUGAAAUGCAGAAUUAUUUUUUUUUAACUACACUAUCACCAAAAAUACCAAAUUGCUGUAAUAAAUAGAAUAAGACCAUGGUGCAUUGGAAGGGACUGGUAAUGCUGCCAUGGUGUGAUGCCGCUACUGCUGCUGCACCGGACUAUGACCAGAUUGAGAUGCUUCACCAUCUUCCGGAUUUUUUGUUUGAUGGUGGACACCGAUAUGGGCUUGAAUUUUGGCUAAUUCAGUCUCAGCAUCGUGUAUUUCUUCAUUCAAAUUUGUUAUGAUUCCAACACAUCCAUAAACAGGGUCUGCUUCCCUGGAGUGUGCCUCAAAGUAUAGCGAAUUUGCAGCAUCUGCUCGUAGUUGAACUGGAAGUUGCUGAGACAUGAAUUUAAGCAGCCAGUCAAUCAGCACCUCAAAUACACUUAUUUACCUUAUUGUGCUAACCGGGUACACUCACACACACCUACGUUGUCUCUGACAAGUCUUGAACCAUUAAAUUCAAGGCAAGAGAAUUAUCAUUUCAUAUUUAAUAUGUUGUACUUAAUUUUUAGAUUAUACCAAAACAACCCGAAUUAACCAGAUACAAAUUUGCAACAUUAGCCAAGACCUUUAAAAUAAAUUUGAACAAUAAGCUGAUCAUCUUGGAUUAGGACCAUAACACAGUAUUGUAACAAUGUCAAUCUGAAAUGAAAUAUAGGGGAGAGAGGGGGGGGAGAGACAGGGAGAGUGGGAGAGAGAGAGAGAGGGAUGGAGGGAGAGUGGGAGGGAGGGAGAGAGAGAGAGAGGGAGGGAGGGAGGGGGAGAGAGAGAGAGGGGGGGACGGAGAGAGACGGAGAGAUAGGGGGGAGAGAGAGACCUUAAGCAUUUUGCCAAUGUUACUGGCUCCAUAGAUUCUGUGCACACACGAAAAUCUCUGAGGAUCAUCAGAAGGGAAAUAAGGCGAAAAGAUGCAAUCUGAUGGACAUUUCCUCCGCAGAUACUUGCAAGCUGCACAACGAGAACGAGUUGAAGUCAUGAAGAAUAUAUAUCAGUUGAAUCUUUUCAAAGAUUUUCUCAAAUCUUAUUGUUAUGUAUUAUGUAUAAGAUUAUAUGUAUCUUUGAUGUUGCUGAAUAUCACAUUUGAAAGCAACGGCUAGUUUUGAAUGGCAAAUUUGACAGUAGAAAUUCCAUAUUUGGAGUGAUGAGAGAGUUGGCAAGAGAAGGCUGAUUUCCAGGUUUCCAUCUUUAACUCUUUCCAUGGUAGGGGUAUAGGGGACUCUCUAUGUAUGUACAAUUUUUAUCAGCACUUUACAAGCUCAGACUAUAAUUAAUUAAAUUUUAUCAUGAUGGAAAAAUCUUUUAUUCUUCUUCGUUACCAGACACAAUUAUCGUGUCUUGUUACUCUUGUACGAUAGCGAAUUUUAUGCAGGAACGGAGGGUUCAACAUAUAUUUUAAGACCCAUGUAAAGUAUAAUUUUAUAAAUUAUUUUAAAUAUUUAUUUCUGCAUUGAAGUUUAAUGGUUAAAUUGUUAUAAAAAAAUAAAAAAAAAUUGUGAACAAUACUUUAUACAUGUUAAUCCGUGAAAAAAAAAUAGGCAGAUGGAGUAAAAUUUUAGGACUUGGCGCCGAGUAAUCCAAACCUUAGUAUUUAUGAUGGAGCGAAAAAUAUUAAAGGCGUGUAUUUGAUUGGGAUUUUAAAACCUUUUUUUUUGUAUUCAUGAAAUUCGAGUGUAUUCGAUUGGGAUUGUUUGAAAUCCAUUAAAAUCUUGAGAUAUUCAAUUGGGAUUUUAAAUUAUGCUGCAAAAUCUAGUGAUAUUCUAUUGAGAUUUUAAAUUAUGCUUUAAAAUCCGAUGGCAUUCAAUUGGGAUUGUUUAAAAUCUAUUAAAAUCUGAUGGUAUUCAAAUGCGGACGGAUUUUUUUUCAUUUCAUUAAAUGAUGGAUUUUGUGGCAUUAUUCAGUGUAUUUUAAGUUUUUUGAAAUCCCACCAAAAUCAAUGGGAUUUUGAAGCAGUAUACCUAAAUUCUAUCUAACUCUGCGACAUUUUAUCAAGAAUCCGCACAAAAUCAAAAUCAAAAUCUCAUACAAUCCAUUAAAAUCCAUAAACUAAAAACAAUUCAUUAAAUUCUCAAUCGAAUACAUCCCGUUAGUAUUGAUAUUUUCAGAAUGCUCAGAAAAAUAUGGACAUUUAAAAUUUAUUGUGUAAUGAUCUGGUUAUUUUGGAUCAUAAACUUUCUUCAUGAUCUCGGUCAAAAUUGGGCCGAAUCAUUUCUCACUCUUCUCACCAUCAAAGAAACCAUUGUUAGUGGACAGUCUCAUCGCGUUGAUGCGGUAGAGUCAAUUACCAAACAUACAGAAUUGUUUACAUCCAACUAAAUAUGAUUGACUACCAUUCUACCAUAUGCACAGUAAACAAUCGACUCUGGACUGUCUCUUUACCCAAUUGACGGUGUCGUUGAUGUCUCUUGACAUAACAUGAAUACUUUUGUUUCUUUUAGACAUGUUAUCGCGUAGACAAAUAGUCGUGCCGAUUUUCUUCCUGACAUGAAAUUUUAUUUUAAUCAUAAUGUCUCUUCACUUGAAAUAUCAAUAAACGGUCUUGUUUUGACGGUGAUCCACUCUUAUGAUCACAUCGAUUAGCCUUAUAUUUUCCAUCAAUAAUUAAACACACUCACGCAUUCUUGAUACCCGUCUUUUCUCUUGGAGAUCGGGUUCAAACGUCAACAUUCUGUAAAGAACUGCUCGGGCAGGAUUAACACGACUACGCUUAUUUCAUAUGUCAUUCCGCUCAAACAUACCUCGCUAAUGUUAUACACAAUAACACAAACAAGAAAACACAAGGCUCUGUAUUUUCAUUUCCCAAAACUAUUCUACAUUCUUAGUUUAUUGCUGAACAACGCUAUAGUUUCUAUGUUCAGUUGGUCUUUCAUUAUGCAUUCUUGUAUAUGUAUCUUCAUAGUUCAAUGUACCUGACUCCUGCGUAGCAGGGCGGAGGAAAGUCCUGAUGUACGCAGUCUUUUUAGAUCCCGCUACCAUCUUUAACAUCAGAUAAUUGCUCAAAGAAUACCAGGAGUCAUAUACUAUAAGUAGUGUUGUUGGUAUUGUUAAUGGCAUCAUAUUUGCCUAUAUAAUGUCUCUUCUUUUGCUGCCUUCUCGGAGUUCAUUUGAACUCUAUUGUGGCGCAUUGGUGCUGAUUAUCUGAUUAAAUCUACGUCUUCACCAUCACUGUCAAUUUCUACACUCCCUUUCCCUUCGGUAUCAUCUUCAUCAAUCAAAUCCUCUAAUUGCUCAGACUCUUCCUCAUCGUCCUUCUCCUGAUCUUGUCCAUCUAUCUCAUCAUUUACGACUCCUAUAUUAUCUCCCUUGCUCUCCCUGAGCUUACCUUCUACCUCAGCAUCUUCAGUGGCAGUUCCUUUAAUAUCUGUAACGAUCUCCUGCAGUUGAGGAUCUAAGCCCUUCCUCCCCAGUUUUAACAUUCCGAAGUCAGUACUUAACUUGGCAGUCCCGAAGCUCUCCUCUGACGCUAACUUUCUCUGACAUGUUUGCCUUACUUGGUACAGCAACCAUAUGCAAAUGGCGAGCAAUAAACAUAUCUGAAGAGCGUGUUUUACCUUGAACUCUUUCGACCUUUGAUUCCUACUGGGCGAUUGCUUCAGCAUUAUUGAUUCAGGCAAACUGGCUAAACUAGACAUUCAGUACAUCUCUGAAAAUGGUAAAUACAAUUAUGUAGGAAUUGGGUCAAAAACGCAGAAUAAAGGUUACAAGGAGACAAAAUAGUAGACUAAAGGAAGCACACAGCAGGAAUGUUUUAAAAGUUAAAAACGCAAACUCCAGCAUCCCCCACGAGAUUAAGGAAUGCCUUAUUACCCCUGUUCCCGGCUCCCAAGAGUAGAAAGGUUGUUUCCGGUGAACUCCUAAUCGAGAUAAUUUUUUGGGCAUAGGACUGAUCACCAGAAUUAAGCAUGUCUUUAAAAUGAACUACUUCAACUCCUCAAUUACCAUAUGUUGAUCAUAUCAUAAAGUGAUUAUCAGUGGAGGGGCACUUUGAAUAGAAGGCUCGAUAAUCUUUGUAACAACUUUAUGCCAAAUAAUAUACCAGAAUGAUUUUAAUACUACUACAUAUACAUUAAUCUACUACAUAGAUCUUUAUGAAUAAUAUACAUUAAUGUCAUAAUAAUCCUUAAUCUACUAAAUAUGAUCUUUGUGUUAUUUUAACAUCUUCACAUCAAAAAGCUUCAUAUUAUAAGACAAUUAGCCUGCUGAGUACGAAUCAUCACUCUCAAAAAUCUAGUGCAAUAUUAAUAAACAUGUAACAUAACCACAGAGANNNNNNNNNNNNNNNNNNNNNNNNNNNNNNNNNNNNNNNNNNNNNNNNNNNNNNNNNNNNNNGAGAGAGAGAGAGAGAGAGAGAGAGAGAGAGAGAGAGAGAGAGAGAGAGAGAUUAAUCAAAUCAAACAAUGUCCAUCAAAAUAAAGUAGAAAGUGAGAGAGACAGAGAAACACCAACCAGAGGAGAAACUGCAAGCAUGUAAGAAGAAGCCUGAGGCAGAGUAUGUUCUUACAAAUAUAUAUACAGAACCAAAAUCAAGAAACAAAAGGUACAGCAGAGCAGAAGUGAGUGAGAAAGGAAAAAGAAGAGGUGGGAAAUGAGGUAGAGUGUUAAACAUACAGGUAGUUAGAUGAUAAAUACUCAAGAGAGCUGGACUAGUCCUUGUAACAUUUUUAUGUUGGACCUGUGUGUGUCGGUUAGUCCCCAUCAACUUUCAUCUUGACAUAUUUUCUCAACUCUUCAAUUACUUGCCUUUACUGUGUUAUAUUUAUCACUUUUACCAAAUUAUUUUUGACCCACCUAAAUCUAGUUUUCUUUCUUUAGGAUCCACCAUUGUAAAGUGUGAUUUGCGAAUCCUUCUACUUUUUACUAACCAGCUAGAGCACUGGAGUUAAUAUUUAAUUAAAUAAUAAUUUAAUAAUUCGAUAUGCCUUUGGAUAAUCUGCUUUGUUUUUGGGAAAAAAACUGCUUCCAGCCUUUGGAGAAGUCAUUAUAAUAUAAGAUUUCAAUAAUGAAUCUUGUCAAAAAUAAUAUUUGAUAUUAAACCUCGAGAUAUAUAAAUAUCAAAAAUAUUUCCAAACAGUUAUCUUACCUAUCCAGAACUUUUUUACCAGCAUUUGGGAUAUUGGAUAUGAACCAAAAUUUUGAAAACUCUCAAACUUUUCAUUUCAAUAUACCUCAAACCAAGUCAAAAAAUGAUGACCGAGAAUGUCAUAUAGAAAAUCAUAAAUAUAUACAUAAAAAAACCCAAAAUUACACUCAAACAAUUUCAAGAGCUAUCCACAAUGUUGCACAUUUUUACACUGUCCAGUUUCCAUGCAUCCUCCUCUUGUGGGGUAUGAACAUUGUGCUGGAGCUUAAACUUGCAAACUUACAGACAAAACUUGUCAACCAUAUGUUGUAUUACAUCAGCUCCAUCGGAAUGAAUAGAUGGAGUUUUUACCUGCAAAAAAAAGGCUGGUUACAGAUAGUAAUAGCAUUUCAUUCUUCUCGUUUUUGACAUGAAAGAUCAGUAUGGUACAGUUGUGUACUAAUAAAUUGAGUAAAAAACUUAGACUAGCAUUUCAGCUCCAAUAAAAAAAAAUUAUAAAACGGAUACUACGCAAGUCAAGGCAUGUACUUGCCUGGAUUGUACUGUGCGCAAAAAAUCUUUGUUUACUUCCACUAAAGCUAACAUCUCCUCUUUCCCAGCUUACUCUGUUUAGUCCUUGUAUCAUUGCCUCUGAACUUGGUAUAACACAGAUAAACACCAUUAAUACGCAAGAUAUGUUACAGACUUGUAGGAAAUAAAAUCAAGAUAACCAACUAUCAAAAGCAAUAUGCCAAUAUCAAGUGAACUGGUACUCGAGCUUAAUCAAGGUUUUCAUCUAAUAAUACUGGAGGUACCAUGUUGUUUGAAGUUGUAGAAAUAUAUUCUACCAAGCUGGUAGUCUUGUCAGAAAAAACAUUUGAGGGGAAUCUUUUCAGAGAUUUAUUCAAUUUACAAGUUGAUUCCAAUUGUUAAUAGUGGCUAACAAAUGGUUUCCGCCAAUCAAAGCUGUCAUAUUAACAAAAGUGCAGGAUAAUUAACAAUAUAGGAGUUCUAAUAACCAAAUGUUAUGAAAUUACAACACUGGUCAAAGAUUAGCGAACAAUAAAUGGGGUACUUACCUUCCAGUUCAAUAUCAUCAGUGAUGGCACCAUUGACUUGUGGUUCUAUAUGACAGCCAUCUAGCUUUGCAGUUUCUUCAUUUACGAUAUGAGGAUAUCUGUUGUUUGCUGAGAGAUGCUGAUGGUAAAAUUCAAGAUAAGUGAGAUACUUAUGACUCUAAACAACAUCUCCGCUAAAUGUUAAAUAACUUACUUUUGGGAGCUCAUUUUGACGGCGUAUGGACGCCGUUCUCCAUCCGACAACAUCUGUUUAAAGGUAAGGUCAACAGAAAAUGUAUAUUAACAAUCACGAGAGCAUGAUUGGUGUCAUGUGUGGUUGAUUCUAUUUUUUAGAUAUGUCUGACUUCUGAGCAUAAAAAAGAAGAAAACUCAAUACAUACAGCUUGCUUAAAGGAAGACAGAUACUAGAAACAAAACAGAAGUCUUAAAUCACAUGCAUGUUUUAUGAUAUUUCUUCCUCGAGAACAAGUUUAACACAUAUAUUGGAAAUAUAUUAUGGAUACUAAAAACAUUCUCUCAUUUAUAUGCUUUGUGAAAAGGUUGUCAAACAAGUCAGAAGUAGUACAGGCUCAAGUAUGAAAACAUACAAUCGUAAAAUGCAUUUGAGUAGGUAACACAACGCUUGAAGGACUGCAAAGCAGAUCUGCAGCAAUAAGCAAGGUUAAAAUUAAGACCAGAAUCACAAUUAACGGUGGAAGCAGAAGGUCCCAGUUAACUUUGUCAGGGGAGCUCACAUAAAUUGAAGAUCUUCACAAUCUUGGGUCAUCUGAAGCAAAAGAGGAGGUUUUCCAUCAUCUGUAUCAUUUAGAAAUUGGUGUUUCCCAGUUCUUCCAAGUAGCCAUGAUAUAUAUGAUGCUAACUUCUCCAAGGACUGAAUCCCACAAAAUAAGGGAACCUGAUUUUGCAAUGAGUUUGUAAAUACAACCACCAGGAGAAGCCGGUAAAAGCAUCACAGAAAAAUUUUAUUUUAUUUUUUUAUUUUAAAUCCUUGUACUCAUUUUUGCUUGUGAUAAAAAAUAGAUAUACUCUAUUAAUAUUUACAAAUGGAGAUAAGAAUAUAUGAGAAACGUUUUACACUUUUAGCAGUAUAAAUCAAGUACCUUAGAUGGGUGGAUAUUGAUAAGAUACUACCAUCAUUUCUGGCAGAGAUCAUAAUAGUAUUUCAUACUAAUGAUAAGGCUAAGCUAUGCCUUUCUCAUACUUUCAUCAAUUCAGUAUGAAAGCUUUUGAAUUUGCCUCUUAUAUAUAUGUUUACAAAAACAUUAUUCCAAAUGAUGAUUAUGCCAUAAUGUUCAAGUUUUCAUGAUAAAAAUUCUUCGUGCAACUUAAAUCUAUAGAAAUUCUGUCACCAAAAUAAAUCAUGUUUUUCAUGUACACGUUAUUUGAGUACAUUUUGUAAGUGGCAAUUUAUUAGACAUCAUCAGAGGACCAUUUACGCGUAUAUAAUGGAUCAUUGCUAACAACUGUACUCUGAUUCACUAAAAUGGCAAUUGAUAAACUGUACUUAUCCAUCUUAAUAUAUUGCCAUCUAAUAAGUUUUUUUAAUUGGCAAACUGCCGACUUCUUAGUUCUUCCUUUAAUUGAAAUCGUGAUUUUUUUGCUAAAUAACUUAACUCGUAUUAUUUAUAAUGCUGGACUCGAUAUAUAACAUAAUUCAGCGACAUGUAUGACAUAUUAUUCAUACAAGUUAUAACUUUUAGAUAAUAAUGAAUCCAACCAUUAAGAAAAAGUAACCAUGAAGAGAAUUAGUCAACACCUGUUUAUGCCCUCUCAAACCAAGGUGUGGGGUUGCGGAGGUUAUGAAGUUUACAGGCUCCAGUCCAGCAAUUUUCCCUUCAGGUUUUUCCUCCCUAAAUGGCUUUUCAGAUCCAUCUGAUUCUCCAUUAGCUUGAUGUCUUGGCUUUCUAAAAUCUUCUGAGUAGAGUUUUGCAAUAGCAUAUCUAGCUAUCAGACCACCGAGUGAGUGUCCUAUAAAAGAAAUCUUCUGAAGAUCAGGAUGACGUUUUACAACCGAUAUCACCUGAGAAAGUAGAAUACUUAAAUUAUAGCCUGACACUGUAUCAUGGAACAGAAGCUUCAAAACUUCAUUCAGAUAUUACUAAUUAACAUGAUAAAAAAUUUAGUAUCACUUCUGAGGAAACAAAUUACAAUAGUGAAAUACAAAAGUCAGUACACACCUCAUCGGCUAAUCUGCUCCCCAUCACAUCGAUUCCAUCAAACGUCAGAGUUGAAUAAUUACAUUCACUGCCUGAACAUAAAUAUCAUGUAAAUGUGAAUUAUUUCAAAACAUUAGGGCUAACGUGGCAGAAACAGGGAAGCAGGAAACUAGAAGAAACUAAUUAUUUGUUUGAGGCAGUUAUUAAUAUUCUCUUGAGUUUGUUACCAUUAUAUCUUGUCAAUAUUAAGUUAAAGAGUAGUAAGAAGCACUUAUAUUGGACACACUAACUUCACAAUAUAUCAAUUGGUAUUAAUUUGAAGGAGGAUUAAUACUGCAAGGCUGCUGACAGCAAAACCUUUAGUCUAUGUAGUUAACAGAUUGUAAAUCUAAAAUACUCUAUCAGAAAAGUGAAAUUUUAUCCUUAGUUCCCUUACAAAAGUAGCAGUCUAUGCAACAUAUCCAUAUCUGUGUAGUACAAAUGUAAUAAAAGCAUAUUGUACUACUCUUGUUUCCCUAAAAUCAAUAGACACAUUAUUACAAGAACACCAAUUAACAAAUACAUUGCAAGGUUAGUCAAAGGAUAACUUACAGUGAACCAUUACAUCCUGGGGGUACCGACUCAAAAAUUGCUUUGCAGCAUAUCUCCAGUCAUGAGCACUGCACACAUAAAUCAUACACCAACUUCCAACUCGUGAACUAGUAAAAAUGUCCUAAUGCACAAUUUAAAACUCUGAAUGUAAUUAAGAGCGCAUAGUCUUAUUUAGACAUUCUUUGGACUAUAAGUUAUAACAAGAGAUAUAUAGUUCAAGCCUUGGUGAAGGCCUGGGUGUGCAAGUAUAUUGACAUUAAUAUGCAGCAUAACACAAAACAGCAAAAGAACUAAAGAAAAAUGUCCCUGAGUAUGUACUUGCGGGACUUGCCAUUGAGUAGCAUAUAGUGGAAUACUUGUAAUUAUUUGAUCAAGUUCUGAAAUUACAAAGAUACCCUAUGUGGUCACAAUAAAAAUCCUUUGUAUCUCAGGUGAGUACAAACAGGAAAUAAUUAAUAGAUCUUAUAUAAAACCAUCAAGCUCAAAGAACUACUAUAUCCAACAAAGUUAAUCAUGCAAUCAAAUGCACAUGUUAAAAAGAUUAUACCUUUAUCACAAUCAAUAUGGAGUAAUCAAGUAACAAACUCUAACUCAAUUGUAUCAGCCCAUUUAGAAUUUUAUUCGUGCACAUAACAAUUUGGCAGAAUAGCACAUUUUCGAAAUAUGGCCUAUCACAUCACAUAAAAAUUAUAUUUCCACAAUCAUUUACUAUUCAAUAUCAACAAUAAAUCUCCUGAAGUUUAUACCAUGUCUCCAAUAUCUUAAAACCACAAUCAAAACAUCCACUUUUCACAAUCCCAACACAACAAAGUUUGCAAACUAUAACUUGUAAAACAUCCAAUGAAAAUAAAGUUUCUAUCUUUUAAAUCAUAACUGAAAAUCAACUAAAAUCUGGAUCAACCAUCCUGCCAAAUGCAAAUAAAGUUUCAUUCUUCAACUACAGACUAAAAAUUGACAAAAAUCUUGAAGAACUAACCUGCCAAUGAUUCCAUUAACAGUAACAACAAGAUGGGUUGGGCUAGAAAGCAAGGCAGAAUCUUUAACUGCAGAUUUGAUAUCAAAAUUGCCAUGAACAUCUGAUUCCUCAACAGUAGGGUGCCCAAGGUCUGAUUUAAAACAACCAAUUAAAGAUGAAGGAGAUGAAGAUAAAGAUUUAAUCUUUUUGGGUUUUUUCUUCUUGUUUUCUUGGCCCAUUACUUCAAAUUGUUCUAUGCUGUUCUUCUCAGAAUCCAUUGGAAAACCCAAAAAUUAUACAUACAGGGGUUGUUUGUAUAUGUAUGUACGAGUGGAAAAUUGGGGCCUGCAGGCUGCAAUUAAGUACUUGUUCAAGGGACAAGAAGACGGCGCAUGAUGAGUAGAGUUUGUACAUGUAAAUGAGUUGUUGCCACCGUGCCUACAGCUUUGUGUUUUCAAUAAUGGUCCAUCUCGAAUAUAUAUGUGUAAAUCCAAUUAAUUCAAAAAAUUUAGUCUAAUACAUGUGAAUAUAAGUAUCUAAAAUUUGACUCCCAUCGAUAAUAUAUUAUAAUUAAUUUUUUAAGCAAAAUUUAAAAGUUCUUCUAAUUUAAGUAUAAUACUUCGAAAUAUGAAAAGAUUUUUUGAAACAAUAAACUAUAAUAUCAUGAUAUUCAUCAUUUUAUCUAACUCAAAAAAAUUCAUUAAUUUAAUUAUAUCAUCAUAAUUUAUUUAACUACAAACAUUCUCAAUUAAAUAUUACAAAAUGAAUCACAACUUAAAAUAUUAAUAUACUUUCUAAAAUUCGAAUCGAGCAGGCAUGCAUAAUUCAAGAAGGAAAAAAACCCUACUUUUCAUGUUCCAAACACUGAGAUACAAAUGAGAGUAAAAGUUGCAUACAACCAAAUGAUGGAAACUUUUUUCGGUUAAGGUUGCAUUUGCCCUUAAUUGUUUGUGUACAAGUUACUUGAUAUUUGAAUGAGAUUUUUCGAUUGAAGUGGCAUUUGCUUAGAAGAACCUGUUUGUAGAAAUGCUUGUGUUAAAUCAAGACUAUGUUUGGACGAAAAGUAUGUACAAGGUUGUCAUGUUUGUAAACAUAGCUAACUUUUAGCAUUUACUUCACUCAACUUAAAUAAUUCCACAAUAUCCAAAAUCAUUCCUGGCCUAUUUAAUCCUAUUUAAAUAUUUAACUUAUAUUGUCUUGUUAUUUAUUGUUAGAUUUACAAUAAAAAUGUUGAGAAUUAUAAAUUAAUAUUCAUUUGAGUAAAAAAUUUAUUUUAUAUAACUUAUAUAUAUGUUACUAAGAAUAUAAAAAUAAAACUUUUAAGUUAAAACUGAAAAUGAUAAUAUCAAUAAUUAUCGAAAUAUACUUAUCACAUUAAAUAAAUUAUUGAAAAUAGUAUCUCAUAAAGGUUUGUAAAGCCAGACAAACAUACUACUAAUGCACCCUCCUUUUUUAUUAGUAGACUACUAGUACUAAUCAUUUAGUAUUUGUUUUAUGCCAGAAGCAAAUUUCCAACAAAACAUUUCUUGUGAAAAUUAAUAUCAUUUAUAAAGUGAUGGACAUAAUUAAACAAAGGAUUAGGAAAUCUUAAAAGGUUUUUGAUUAUAUAGUAUAUAGAUUAUGAUUAUAUAUAUAGAUUAAGUGCUGAAAAGCUUCUUAAUGUCAUUUAUAAAGUGAUAAAUAAACAUAAGCAAAUGAAGGAUUAAGGAAUUUCAAAGGUUUUUUUUAUUAUAUAUAAAUUAAGGAGGGUACUCAAAAGCUUCUCCAUAAACUUGCUCAUUAUUCAUUCAAGGCUGAUCCAACAAAAAAAACAUUUUCAGAGGUAUGGUUAGUCACUGAUCUUGUUUGCUUUGAUUAAGUUUUUGUUCGUCUUAUGAAUCCAAAGAAACUAUGGAGACCCCAUCAGCAAGCCAUGUUCAAAAUGCAUGUUCUUUUCUGUUUCAUGUUUAUCAGUUUUACCUUCAUUCUGUUGCUCUCUAAAAUAUCUCAGCUCUACUGAGUACUGUAUAUUCACUAAACACAAGAAUAGAUCAUUGUCAAGUAAUCUGCUCUAAAGGGCCAGGUAUCAGUAUUAGAUUUGAUAUCAUGUUAAGUAACAGGUUAGAGAAAGGCCCAACAGAAUCUUAUGUUACACCAAACAUUAUUCAACAUCGAUAUCUUGUGAUAUUUAUUAUAUUUCUGGCCAAAGAAUCGUAGAAAAAAAAUAAAAUCAUUCGGUUCUUUUCUUGUUGCAGUACAUAUAGCAAUGUUGUAACUAUGCAUGCAAAUACUCUCUGUAUUUUGCAAUUAAUGUAUGGAUUAGGGUCCUAUGUUAUGGUUAUACAUUCCUUGUAUGCCAAUAAGCAAAAUUUUCUAUAAACUUUUCUUCUGAAAAUGAAUGGAAUUUAUGAAGGAAUGAACAGAACUAAACAGAGGCAUAUAGGAUAAUAAACAAACUAUCCUUCUAUUUUACUUCAAGCAUUUUCAAUCUGCAAGGCCAAGUUUACUCAUCAACCAACAAAUCAAUAUAGUAAAGAAAUAAAAAAAUGGAUGUUUCACUCUUUACUCAAUCUAACAAUUUGGAUUGCCCAGAAAGAGUGGAUCAAAUUUGAAGUUUAAGAAAUUAUAAAGUUCUUUCUUAUUACUCUCUGAUCCUCUCUUUUUCUUUCGCGUUCAAUUCUAUUUUUCGUCUUCAAUUAUUCAUUUAUUGGGUUCGAAAUUCAUUCUUUGAUUGGAGGGUUCUGGUUGGGUUGGUCCAUGCUUUUUGUAGAAGUAAAAUCUUUUUAAAAUUCAAAUUUAUUGAUAUUUUGUUGUAUAUAAUGAGGAGAGUCCUGAAAAGCUUCUUCAUAAGCUCAGUAUUCAGGGCUAAUAGAAAGAAAAUAUAUUCAGAGGUAUUGUCUGGUAAUCUAUCAUGUAUAUUGCAGAGUUGUUUGUUCAUCAAAAAUCGCUUUGAGUAUUAAUGUUAAUGUUUUUGUUUGUCGUAGGAAACAAUGGAGACCCCAUCAGCAAGCAAUGUCCAAAAUGCAUCUCACUCUGAGGUACAUUUUUGAUUCCAUCAUGUUUUUGAUUCAUUUGUUUGUUUCUAAUAAUUUUAUCGGCAUUUUGUUGUUUAAAAGUAAAUCAGAUCCUCAACAUGAACACAUGUAUUUUGUACAUUAUUUAGUUACUAAUUGAUCAUCCUUAAUUUUCAUGAAAUUAAUAUUUCUGUUUUAUCUUGAUCACAUAACUGUCCACUCGAAUUUUUGUUCAUCCAGCAGAAAUUAGAAGAGUGCCUAAUGGAGGGUCCAGAAAACAGUCUCACUGAUAAUAUCAUACUAAAUCAUGACUUCUCUGAAGGGCUGCAAUCGUGGAAUCUAAAUUGCUGCGAAGGCUUUGUAGCUUCUGCAAGUUCGGGUCACAAAGGAGCAUUGGCAAAUUCAGAGUCAGAAAGUCAUUAUGCUGUUGUUACUAAUCGCAAGGAGUGUUGGCAAGGGUUAGAACAAGAUAUCACAACUAGAGUUUCGCCUGGUUCUUCUUGCACAGUUUCUGCUAAGGUUAAAGUAGCAGGGCCUGUGGAGGGAUUGGCUGAUGUAUUGGCUACACUUAAGCUGGAUCACGAAGACGGAACAACUAGUUAUCAACGCGUAUCAAGGUACUGGUACUUCUUCAAAUUUUGUGUGUGGCCUUUCUGUAUUAAACACGAAGUUAUUUUAAUAAGUGUCUCUACAUGCAGAAUCUCUGUCAGUAAAGAAAGGUGGGAGAAAUUAGAAGGAACAUUUUCAUUGACAAAAAUUCCCAAGCGUGUUGUAUUUUAUUUGGAAGGGCCAUCUCCUGGAAUAGACUUACUCAUAGAAUCAGUAGUGAUUUCAUGUCUCAGGCGCGGCAAGCUCAGUGUAAGUUGAUGUUGCAUACAAUUUAUUCAUUAUACUGUAGUUUAUACAUUCUGUUAAUGUGUAUCUUAUCAUGCAAUUUGACAGAUUAAAGGCACCGGAGACGUUCCAGCUGAAAGUGAGAAUAUAAUACUGAAUCCUGCAUUUGAUGAUGGUGUUAACAAUUGGUCUGGAAGAGGAGGCUGCAAAAUUCUUGUCCACGACUCCAUGGGAGAUGGAAAAAUCUUACCCAAGUCUGGAAAAUAUUUUGCAUCUGCAACAGAACGCACACAAAGUUGGAAUGGUAUUCAGCAGGAUAUAACUGGAAGGGUUCAGAGAAAGCUUGCUUAUGAGGUAUCUGCUGUAGUACGGAUUUAUGGUAACAAUGUUACAAGUGCCAAUGUACAAGCUACUUUAUGGGUCCAGACACCAGACUUCCAGGAGCAGUACAUAGGCAUCUCCAGGUCAGUUUUUCCUAUCUCAUCUAGAACUAAAAAUGAGCUAACAAUGUUACCAGUAAUUUUAUGGAUUUUGCACGGAGACAUAGUAGUUGCAGUACUUAAUAUAACCGGUUCUAUAUGUUUACUUCUUAAAGUACGCAGGCCACAGAUAAAGAUUGGGUACAGUUGCAGGGUAAAUUUCUUAUUAACGGCAAUCCAUCAAAGGUAGUUGUAUAUCUAGAAGGCCCGCCUGCAGGCACUGAUAUUCUCGUUAACAAUUUAUCCUUGAAGCACGCAGAAAAGAUCCCUCCAUUACCUGCACCAGUUAUAGAGGUAUUUGAAUUAGUGAUUCAGUUCUUGUUAUUGCUUCUUGACAGAACAGAUUCAACUAAUUGAGAUUUGAUAUAUUGAGACGCUGUUUUACUGUAUUGCAGGAUGCAAAUUAUGGAGUAAAUGUAAUUGCAAACAGCAACCUUUAUGAUGGCAGCAAUGGAUGGUUUUCUCUUGGCAAUUGCACCUUAACCGUUGCAAAUGGCUCACCUCGUGUACUUCCACCUAUGGCGAGAGAUACCUUAGGGCAACAUGCACCAUUAAGUGGUCGCUGCAUUCUUGUGACUAAUCGGACUCAGACUUGGAUGGGACCUGCUCAGGUGAUCACUGAUAAAGUCAAGCUCUACCUGACAUACCAAGUGUCUGCUUGGGUAAGAAUUGGCUCCAGGGCAGCUGGUCCUCAGAACGUGAAUGUUGCAGUUGGCGUGGACAGCCAAUGGGUGAAUGGUGGCCAAGCUGAGAUUAAUGAUACUCGUUGGCAUGAAAUUGGCGGCUCUUUUAGAAUUGAGAGAGAGGCAGCUAAGGUGAUGGUUUAUGUUCAAGGUCCUGCUCAAGGUGUUGACUUCAUGGUCGCGGGACUGCAGAUUUUUCCAGUUAACCGGGAAGCAAGGUUUAGACACUUGAAAAGGCAAACUGAUCAGGUUUAAAUUCCCUAUAUGAUUAUAUUACUUGAGUAAUUAGAAACUGACAUUGUUAGGAUACGAUCAAAUUUUCCUUUUGUUGCUUUGCAGGUACGUAAACGCGAUGUCACCCUCAAAUUCUCUGCAUCUGAUUCAAGCAUGCUGCCUGGUACUUUUGUAAAAGUCAGACAAACUCAAAACAGUUUCCCCAUUGGUUCAUGUAUGAGCAGAUCAAACAUAGAGAACGAAGAUUUUGUCGAUUUCUUCACGAAACAUUUUAAUUGGUCUGUAUUUGCAAAUGAGUUGAAGUGGUAUUGGACAGAGUCCCAACAAGGAAAAUUAAACUACAAAGAUGCUGAUGACCUCCUGAACUUGUGCAACACAAACAAUAUUGAAGUCCGUGGUCACUGUAUCUUCUGGGAAGCAGAGAACACGGUUCAGCCAUGGUUGAAGGCUCUCAACAAAGCCGACUUGAUGACAGCAGUUCAGAAUCGUCUGACAGGCCUUUUAAGCCGUUACAAGGGGAAGUUCAAGCACUAUGAUGUUAACAAUGAGAUGCUGCAUGGAUCAUUUUAUCAAGAUCGAUUAGGUAAAGAUAUCCGAGCCAACAUGUUCAAGACUGCCAACCAACUAGAUCCCUCGCCUACUCUAUUUGUAAACGAUUAUCACAUUGAGGAUGGAUGUGACACUAGGUCGACUCCAGAAAAGUACAUUGAGCAGAUUCUUGGUCUGCAAGAACAAGGUGCACCUGUCGGAGGGAUAGGAAUUCAAGGACACAUAGACAAUCCAGUCGGGCCUAUUGUUUGUUCUGCUCUAGACACUUUAGGCACUCUUGGCCUUCCAAUCUGGUUCACAGAAGUCGACGUGUCUUCCAUCAACGAGCACAUCAGAGCAGAUGACUUAGAAGUUAUGCUUCGAGAAUGUUUUGCUCAUCCAGCUGUAGAAGGAAUAAUGCUGUGGGGAUUCUGGGAGCUCUUUAUGGCUAGAGAUAACUCACAUUUGGUAAAUGCAGAAGGCGAUAUCAACGAAGCAGGAAAACGGUUGCUUGAGCUUAAGCAAGAGUGGAUGUCGAAUGCACAUGGACAUGUCGAUGAACAACAACAGUUUCAGUUCAGAGGCUUCCAGGGAACAUAUGAAGUGGAAGUUCGCAACUUCUCUCAAAGAAAGAAGGUUCUCAAGACAUUUGUUGUGGAUAAAACUGAGUCUCCAAUCGUCGUUUCUAUCGAUCUAUAACCCCAAUUGGUACCAUUGCUGUGGAAUCAGAACUUGCAUUACAUUGUCUAAAUUGUGUGUAAUUCUAAAUGGUUUAAGUUGGUGUCUAUUGUAAUAAUAAAAGGCAUUCUCUGUUUCAUUGCUCAAUGCUCAUUGAAUCUUUGAUCCUCUCAGUAUCCGUAAAACUUGAAACUAUUAGAACUAUAAAAGCACGCUGUUCGACGUUACAAGGUCUGAACAAAUAUACACAACAAACUUCAUACAUUUAUCUUAAGACUUUGAACAGAAGUUCUGAUACAGAUAUCAGUACAAGUAAAAUAUGCAGGUCUCGAAAACUUACUUCCAGAUCUUCAAGAUUGCGAAAGGACAAGCAAAACUGAAGCUGUUCAGCUAAAAAUAAUUAAAUCACUCUCCUAUCAUAACAUACAUACAUACAUAACAGUCCCACAAACACUGGCCAACUCUCAACAACCAUAGUAUUCAUAGAUUUAUGGCACAAUAUUAAUCAUUGUUGUCUCGGGAGACCGGCCCACGUUUAUUAUUCAUGGCCCCAAUCGAUAAGGACCUUCACCAACAUAGUGGCCCUCCAUGUAUAGAGCUGCAUUUUGAGGAUGAAGUCCAUCCAUCACCAUAAAUUGCAUAUCUUCCGAAGGUUUCCAGUGUCGUUUUCUUUGGUUGAUGAACCAAUUAUUAAUCUGUUUCUGAUCCAACCCGGUUGAUUCUGCCAAUGCUACUUUCUCCGUCUCCUGUGUAUCAACACAUCUUAUUUAAUUACAUAUUUGCUUGAGUAAUCUUAACUACGUUUACAUUAUGCAUCUAACAUUACAUGUAGAUUUGCAUGAAAAAAAAAACUUACAGAAGGAUAUGGCCAUUUGUAGUGCAAGUCCCACCAACUUAGUAACUUCUGGCGGGCAUCUUUGGGUAGUUUUCCUUUCUUCUUUUUCUUGGAAAGUUCUUGCUUGAGACUACUCAGGUAACCACUAUAUUUCCUCAAGAGGUGGUUCUUCAGCUCCCUAUCUUCAGCACGUGGAUCAAUCUGCGGAAGUUCUGUCUCUCCACCGCUAUUAUCUUGAUCCUCUUCUGACGAACCAAUGACCUCACAUUUCUCAUCUAGUUAAUUAUAGAGAGAAUUAGAAAACAAGAGUAAACCCUUUACUUUAUCAGACGCCUUAAAACAUACUAUAUUAGGGCAGCAGAUCAAGGGGAGAAAAUUGCAUAAAAAUAGCAGACUGUGUUAGGGCAGCAGACCAAGGAGAGAAAAAUUGUAAAAAUAGCUAUGCACUUCAUAUAAUAUGCUUUAGGUAACAUUAGGUUUGCCACAAUCAGUAUCAACUAUAAAACAUGCAAGAAAAAACAUGCGAGAAACGUAAUCAACCUCUAGCAUCCCAAAUUGUCGUGUGAUUAAAAUUAAUACAAAUCCUUAAGAAAGAAUAUGAACAAGCACAAAAUUGCACUGACAAACUGACUAAGUACAAGUAAAAUUUGAGGUUUUUUAGGAUCCUGUCUGAUCCAUUACAAUGUACCAUCAACUAGAAUAGUCGAACUAGGAAAAAUAAAAACUUAACUUAGUAGUGGAGUAUACGCAAAAUCCAUUCAGUAGAAAUCAAAAUUCAACUUAGUAGAUUAGAGCGGUGUUCAGUAUGUUUAGCAAGCACAAGUAAAAAUAAUUAAGGUCAUAAAGUGGAGCCUGUCAUCCCAUAUUAGUGAAUGCUCAUCUCUCUUAGUAAAACAAAAACGAUCAGGCGUAUAUAUAUGGAACUUGAUAACAAAGCACUUCAAAGUGUAUUCAAUUUUGCAUCUUACCGUCAAUGAUUAACUAGUAUUUCCUUUUCUGAACAUGCUUUCUAAUUAUGCUUAUACCUCAACCUUCGGUUACAACUUCAUUGUGGAAUCUAGAAUCACUUUUGUUCAUCUAUCUUUUCUAAGAGAUAAUUUCACAGGUUGUGACUAACUUACAAGUUAUCAACAUACUGAACUCAGCUCUAAUAUUUGGAGAGUAUUUCCUUUCUCUUGUAGUGUUUUUAGUUGGGAAUCCUGAGCUGUUUAUACCAAUUUCACUGAGUGUGUACCAUAAAAGUAAAGGUUUCGAGCUUGUCUUGUGACAAUUACGGAAAAAAGUAAUAUUGUUUGUUAACCCAACUUUUCCACCAAGCUCCUAUCAAAUACUAACACCCAAAGUUAUGUCUCAAUGCCUCUAUAUAUAUGUGCUCCUCGAUUUCGGACUCCCUACCAGAAUUACCAUUGGGUACUUGAAAAUAUUUGACACUGUCAUUAUUGAAUAUAGGCAUUUUGACAAACUAAAAAAGAUCACUUUUGAGAUGGAUUUACAAUGCAGAAAGAAAAAAAAGAAAAAUGAGGAAAAAGAAGAAAGUGAGAAGAAAUGGAGGCUUCGGCAUUAAUGUAAUAAAAAUAAACAUAAUUGAUUUAAGUUACAAUCUUUCAGGAAACCUAAUUAAACACAUCUUGUUUACUCCCAAUAGGUUUUGCAUAUUAUCCAUUUAAAUAAAUUGAAGUCAGAAUACCUUAUAAUUAUCUAUCUGUUUGACCAUACCUACUUGAACUCGGGCAACAUAAUUUAGAAGUAAUUACAAAUUUUUUCUAAAGUUAUUACUUGGAUUGGUCAAGACUUUAUAAGGUAAUGUUUAUAUCCAAUGUGAAUUUUAAUUAGAAUGGGCUACUUAUUUUUAGAGGAUUUGCUUACAGGUUGUUGAAAUGUGAUUUUAUAUGUAGGAGUAUAGGACUGAAAUCAAGUAUUACAACAUAAGAAAAAAAAAUUGGAUAAUUCUUUGGCAUUUUAACAAAAACUUUUUCCAUUUUCAGAAAAAAAAAACAAAAACAAAAACAAAAACUUUUACCAAGCGAAAAUAUAAGAAAUUAUUAGUAAAUUGCUUAUAAACUUAAUAUAAAAACUUUCAGACUUCCACCAAAUAACAAGUCCUAGGAGAAAUAGGAGAAAAUGAACCUAACUAAUUCCGAGACAAAUGGACAUGUUGCUGAUGCUCAUUGCUUGAUUGCUCACAAGCAUUAACUGGAAAAACUGAAAAGGUGCAUCUAUUCUAAACAUCAGCUGAUUCCCAGCAGCCCUUACAAAACCCAUCUUUUAUUUCAAAUCCAAGCAACACACCAUAGUCACAACAAUUGCCAGCCAACUAGCAGCACUUAUUUAUAAUCAACCGGUUAAAAAUCUUUAAAAAACUAUCAACAUUAAUUAAAAAAACGUUACCCAGUGUAUUCAAGUAAAAAAAUCAAAGUGGAUAUCACAAGUCCACAGACAAAGAUAAUUAGAUCUAGAAACAGUCAUAUUAAUACAUGCAUGAACUAGUACUACUGCUACUAGUCAUAUUAUGUAUGAAAAGACAGAAAGUUGAAAGCAGAUAAAUUGACACUUAAAUAAAAUAAAAAGUUAGGGAGAAGUAAAUAAGAAAAGAGAGGCAGGAAAAGAUGUACAGGCUAUAUUUGCUAGGUCUGAUGUGAAACAGCAUCCUAUGUUCUUCUCCAGUUUUCAAAGCCAUACACCCCUACUACUCUACUACUCCACUACUCUACUCGGGAAUGUAAGAAAACCAUUUUAAUAACUGCACACACCUUGAUACACAUACACACAUACAUGUCAGAACAAAAUAAGUGUGUUUUUUUUAAGUAGGGGAACAAAACCCUAGUAAUUAAUUACUCCAAUGAGUGUGUCAGAUGAUUAAUCAAUGAGAUUAGUUGAAAAGAGUGAGAUUGUGUUUGCCUAAUUCCCUACCAAUGUCUGGUUUAUAAAGAGUAAAGUAUGAAUAAAUUGUGAGGUUUUGGUGUAAAGUGGUGAUUAGGGUUUCUUCAAAAGGACACACAGAGUGCAGUCAAGGGCAGUGGCAGUUUGUUCUGUGAGUCAAAGUUUGGGUUCCCGGUGAAUAAAUGACAAUCAAUCACACUCCAUCUCCACAUCUCUUUACUUCAACUGCCAGUUCUAACUUAACAUUUCCCCAAAUAUAACAAAACUACACUCCACAUAGAUCUACCUUCAUCACUUGUAUCUUGUUUCCUCUUUCCAGCUAUAUGUUCAUAGUACGUACGGAUAUACGGUUAUUUUUGUUUAUAUUUGAGAUUUUAGAAGAAGUGGUCACUUAGCAAAUACAGAAGAGACGACCGGAGUUGCUAUAUAUGGUUAUUUUUGUUGAAAUUUGAGGUUUUGGAAGAAACGGUCACUUAACAGUAACAGAUAUGGAGGGGAGUACCGGGGUUGAAGAUCUGACGUGGACUGGUGGAGAGCAUAUUGAGCUGAGUCUCUAUCCUUUGCAUGAACUCCAUGGCCUCUUGUAAUGGUCUGGUUAGCUCCUCACGGUACUUCACAAGCAUGUCGUAAUAAGCCUCCUGUUGAUCAAUCUUUUAUUAAUUGAAUCUAAAAAUAAUCACUAGUGAAAGAACAAAAUUAUGAGAUAAAAUCAUAAAAAACACACCAUGAAUUGAUCAAGCUCUGGAUCUUUGGAUGCUUCUCCGCAGUUUACUGAUGCUUGCUGCCUGGCUUCGAAGUCCUGCCGAAUAGCCGCCAGCCGAGCCAUCACUUCUGCCGGAGCUCCAACCUAAUAAAUUCCGUUACAAUUGAUAGCAGAAAUUUAAAUACUCAUGCCAGAAGGCUAAGGCUAUAUUAAUCUCGACCCUGUGUACUUAUUAUAGAUUGAGUAAUAAGUCCAAUUAUAGUCGAUUACAGAAAUUUAAAUACUCAUGCCAUAGAGCCUAGACUAUAUUAGUCUCUACCCUGUGUACUUAUUACAGAUCGAGUAAUAUGUAUUAAAUUAAAAAAACCUUUUGGCAAUCCAUGUAAGCUUGCAGAAGACUAGAAUACUGAGGAUGAGCAAUGAUCUUAGCUUUAAUAGCUUCAGCAGCCGCACCUUCACUCUGAUCAAUAUUCUCCUGGUGGCUUCUGAUGGCAGAAGGAUAAUGAAAUCUGUGGUGCACAGAAUUAUGAUUCCCAGCCUCCAUUUUCACCAUAGGAUGAUGAUGAAACCUACUUGAUUCAUCAUUAGGGAGAUGAAAUCCAUUCAUCACAAGAGGCAGCUGAUGAGCAGAAGAAGAGCUAGAGGUGCCUCCAAUUCCGUACAAGAAACUACUUGCUCCUCUUGAAUUAUU
rnacentral:lncRNA from 1 species